rnacentral:rRNA from 1 species
UACGUAGGGUGCGAGCGUUGUCCGGAAUUAUUGGGCGUAAAGCGUGCGUAGGCGGCUGCGCAAGUCGGUUGUGAAACCCCGGGGCUCAACCCCGGAACUGCAUCCGAUACUGCGUGGCUAGAGGUAGGUAGGGGAGAUCGGAAUUCCUGGUGUAGCGGUGAAAUGCGCAGAUAUCAGGAGGAACACCGGUGGCGAAGGCGGAUCUCUGGGCCUUACCUGACGCUCAGGCACGAAAGCUAGGGGAGCGAACAGG